GGGGAUUUAGCUCAGUAGCAUAAGCGCCUGCCUGGCAAGCACGAGGUCAUGAAGUUCAAUCCCCG
rnacentral:tRNA from 1 species